rnacentral:lncRNA from 1 species
AAGCCAGACAUAUUUAUUACUGGGUACACAUAAAUUAAAUAACUACAUAUAAUGAUAUAUAUAAGUUAAAAUAGGUGUAUCAAACUCAGGUUCUUCAAAAGUUACGGGUGCACCUUGACCGAUUAAGCCAUUUUCCCUUUUAUCUCUAAUGUAAAAAUUUCAAAACAUAAAUAAUAGUGGGUGCAUGUGAAGUCCUAGUCUAUGACGUAGCUUCGCCCCUGCUUGUAACAAUAUACAUUUUCUUAAACCAUAGUAAAAUAACUCAU